UGGGAUAGCUCAGUCGGCAAAGCACAAGACACUUCAUCUUGGGGUUGUGGGUUUGAGCACCACAUAGGGAAUAA